rnacentral:rRNA from 1 species
AGAGUUUGAUCAUGGCUCAGGACGAACGCUGGCGGUGUGCUUAACACAUGCAAGUGGUGCGACGAACCAGGCUUCGGCCUGGGGCAAAGCCGCGAACGGGUGAGUAACACGUGGGUAAUCUGCCCCAAUGACCGGGACAACCCGAGGAAACUCGGGCUAAUACCGGAUGUGGUGCACAGGCUUAAGUCUGUGUACUAAAGGUAGCUUCGGCUUCCGCAUUGGGAGGGGCCCGCGGCCCAUUAGCUUGUUGGUGGGGUCAAGGCCUACCAAGGCAACGAUGGGUAGCUGGUCUGAGAGGACGAUCAGCCACACUGGGACUGAGACGCGGCCCAGACUCCUACGGGAGGCAGCAGUGGGGAAUCUUGCGCAAUGCGCGAAAGCGUGACGCAGCAACACCGCGUGAGGGAAGACGGCCUUAGGGUUGUAAACCUCUUUCAGUUGGGACGAAGGUGCAGCGGUGAACAGCCGACUGGAUUGACGGUACCUUCAGAAGAAGCUCCGGCUAACUACGUGCCAGCAGCCGCGGUAAUACGUAGGGAGCGAGCGUUGUCCGGAAUCAUUGGGCGUAAAGAGCGCGUAGGUGGAUCAAUUAGUCUGCUGUGAAAGUCAAAGGCUCAACCUUUGAAAGCCGGUGGAUACUGUUGAUCUAGAGUACGGAAGAGGCGAGUGGAAUUCCUGGUGUAGCGGUGGAAUGCGCAGAUAUCAGGAGGAACACCAAUAGCGAAGGCAGCUCGCUGGGACGUUACUGACACUGAGGCGCGAAAGCGUGGGGAGCAAACAGGAUUAGAUACCCUGGUAGUCC